UUAAGGGGAACUACGUCGCCCUGAUUCUCAUACCAGAUGAGAUACGUAGGCAGAAGAUUGAGCGAAAUCUCUCCGGGCACCCUUUUUUUUUGUGCGUUCACCCUUUUUCUUUUCUGUUGUGUUGUCUUGCGUGUGUUCACUCUUUGCUUCUGGCAUUUGUGGUGUGAGUACCCGUUUACUCAGCUUGUGUAUGUGUUGUAUGUUCAUACCCUGGGGUUUAU
rnacentral:lncRNA from 1 species